rnacentral:rRNA from 1 species
UACGUAGGGGGCAAGCGUUGUCCGGAAUUAUUGGGCGUAAAGAGCGUGUAGGCGGUCCGGUAAGUCAGCUGUGAAAGUCAAGGGCUCAACCCUUGAAUGCCGGUUGAUACUGUCGGGCUAGAAUCCGGAAGAGGCGAGUGGAAUUCCCGGUGUAGCGGUGAAAUGCGCAGAUAUCGGGAGGAACACCAAUGGCGAAGGCAGCUCGCUGGGACGGUACUGACGCUGAGACGCGAAAGCGUGGGGAGCAAACAGG